rnacentral:rRNA from 1 species
ACCGGCGGCCCGAGUGGUGAUCGUGAUUAUUGGGUCUAAGGGUCCGUAGCCGGUUGGUCAGUCCUCCGGGAAAUCUGAUAGCUCAACUAUUAGGCUUUCGGGGGAUACUGCCAGACUUGGAACCGGGAGAGGUAAGAGGUACUACAGGGGUAGGAGUGAAAUCUUGUAAUCCCUGUGGGACCACCUGUGGCGAAGGCGUCUUACCAGAACGGGUUCGACGGUGAGGGACGAAAGCUGGGGGGCACGAACCGGAUUAGAUACCCGGGUAGUCCCAGCCGUAAACGAUGCUCGCUAGGUGUCAGGCAUGGCGCGACCGUGUCUGGUGCCGCAGGGAAGCCGUGAAGCGAGCCACCUGGGAAGUACGGCCGCAAGGCUGAAACUUAAAGGAAUUGGCGGGGGAGCACAACAACGGGUGGAGCCCUGCGGUUUAAUUGGACUCAACGCCGGACAACUCACCGGGGGCGACAGCAAUAUGUAGGCCAAGCUGAAGACUUUGCCUGAAUCGCUGAGAAGAGGUGCAUGG